GAUGAACGCUAGCGGAAGGCUUAAUACAUGCAAGUCGAGCGGUAGGUGGCUUCGGCCAUUGAGAGCGGCGCACGGGUGAGUAACGCGUACAUGACCUGCCUGUCAGAAGGGGAUAGCCCUGGGAAACUGGGAUUAAUACCCUAUGGUAUUGAUAUUAUGAAUGAUAUCAAUUAAAGUUGAGGCGCUGACAGAUGGAUGUGCGUCUGAUUAGCUAGUUGGUAGGGUAACGGCCUACCAAGGCGACGAUCAGUAGGGGGCGUGAGAGCGUGGUCCCCCACACGGGUACUGAGACACGGACCCGACUCCUACGGGAGGCAGCAGUAAGGAAUAUUGGUCAAUGCCCGCAAGGGUGAACCAGCCAUUCCGCGUGGAGGAUGAAGGCCCUAUGGGUUGUAAACUUCUUUUAGAUGGGAAGAAAAUGCUAGAUGUAUCUGGUACUGACGGUACCAUCAGAAUAAGCACCGGCUAACUUCGUGCCAGCAGCCGCGGUAAU
rnacentral:rRNA from 1 species